UACGUAGGGUGCGAGCGUUGUCCGGAAUUAUUGGGCGUAAAGGGCUCGUAGGCGGUUUGUCGCGUCGACUGUGAAAACCUACAGCUUAACUGUGGGCUUGCAGUCGAUACGGGCAGACUUGAGUUCGGUAGGGGAGACUGGAAUUCCUGGUGUAGCGGUGAAAUGCGCAGAUAUCAGGAGGAACACCGGUGGCGAAGGCGGGUCUCUGGGCCGAUACUGACGCUGAGGAGCGAAAGCGUGGGGAGCGAACAGG
rnacentral:rRNA from 1 species